rnacentral:rRNA from 1 species
GAUGAACGCUGGCUACAGGCUUAGCACAUGCCAGUCGAGGGGAAACGACGGGGAAGCUUGCUUCCCCGGGCGUCGACCGGCGCACGGGUGAGUAACGCGUAUCCAACCUGCCUCUGACUGAGGGAUAACCCGUCGAAAGUCGGCCUAAUACCUCAUGGUAUCGUCUGCGGGCAUCCAACGACGAUUAAAGAUUUCAUCGGUCAGGGAUGGGGAUGCGUCUGAUUAGCUUGUUGGCGGGGUAACGGCCCACCAAGGCUACGAUCAGUAGGGGUUCUGAGAGGAAGGUCCCCCACAUUGGAACUGAGACACGGUCCAAACUCCUACGGGAGGCAGCAGUGAGGAAUAUUGGUCAAUGGGCGAGAGCCUGAACCAGCCAAGUAGCGUGCAGGAAGACGGCCCUAUGGGUUGUAAACUGCUUUUAUGCGGGGAUAAAGUGAGGGACGUGUCCCUCAUUGCAGGUACCGCAUGAAUAAGGACCGGCUAAUUCCGUG